UAAUUGGUAUGUAUUAAUCAUUGUUCAUUUCUGUCUCUACAGGAAGCACAGUGUUAAAACGUCUAGUUAAUAUACUGUAUAAGGGAUAACCUUGAGGCAGAAGCUCUUGCAUCUGGCUCUAUCCAAGACAAAUGUCAACAUGAGCCUUUGUUGUAGUGAGAUACCCUGAAGUUUGAAUGGAGUUCCUUCAGGUGGAAAAUUGACUCCCCCCAGUGCAAUCCUUCCUAACCCAGGUCCAGUACCUAAACUAGAGAUGGGCCCAAAUUAAAAAUCUUUAUCUGUGCACACCUGUAUUUAGGUAUGUUUCAAAUCUGGUCUGGGUCAGAAUGUUGUGUUUAUGGCGCAUCUCGGUUCUAAACAAAUACAUUUCUCAUGUGCUGCUCUCACUGCAACCACAAAGCAUUAGCACUCACAAGAGUAUCAUUGAAGAUAUUCCAGCUGUUCACUGAGAAUGACGCCAUUAAUAAUUAAUACUAUGGUAAGAGAAAAUGUAGCAGUAUUUCUUGGCAGCUGAAAUGUGGCAGUCUGUCCUCCAUGGAAAAGACUCGCCAAUACCUUUAGCUCUUCUUGCAUCAGAUGGUUCUUACUAACUUUGAAGGAAGAAGAAAUAAACAUCCCCCAAACAAAAGGAAACUGGAGGAGAUUUUCACAUCUAAAACUGGACAUAUACAAUACAUCUCUUUCUGACUGACCCAGCAGAUGCACAGUACGUUUACAUAUCACAGACAUUACUGUCCCAGCAGAUGCUGCAAAGUUGUCAAUGACACAGACUCUUACUGUCCCCACAGAUCUGUAUUUUGGGAGAGAAUUUUCGUACCACAGUCACUACUGUCCCUACAGAACCACAUCUGCUGGGAGAGUUAUUGUUGCACACACUCUUCUGCCUCCAGCAGAUGUGGGAGACUGCGACAGGCAUUUCUGUCACAGCAAAUCUCCAUCUGCGGGGAAUUAAAUUGCAACUUACACUACUGUUCUUACUGAGCCCUUAGUGUGGACAAGACUGACAGGGAGGAAACAAACCAGUGAGAAUAUAACCUAGACACCUAGAACAUCAUCAUUAACUCUGCCUAAACACAGCACUCAGCAGUGCUGGGGUUGGAGAUGUUUCAGGAGGAGGAAAGGAAUUACUUCCCCCACCACCACUUCCUUAACAAGUAUUCAUUCUGAGAAAUACUCAAAGGAACAAGUGUCUGAAGCCCUUUUCAUAUGAUAGCUACAACAAAGCACAAGUCAUUCAUGACUACUAAAUUGACAACCUUAACUCUGUGCUGCAGGAACCAAGUCUGUGUGUGCUAGCUCAUUUUCAGCUUUCCUUUGAACAGAUGCAUGCAGUUUUGUUGGAGAUAGUUUGUAUGAAAAAUUUCAGUUUUGAAAUUAACAUCAGAUUUCAUCCUCAGUUCUAAAGGCCCAAAAGAGCAGAAAUAAAGAGGAGCUACUUUUUAAAAUCCCUUUAAGUUGGGCCCUCAUCUCUUGAGACUCUGUAGCAUCUCUCUGAUUUUGGGUUCCACAACAGCAGCAGCAGCCGUCGUCAUGGGGAGGCUUGCUCCUGAGAAGGCACACUGCCAAGGAACUGGAGAGAAACGCAGCUCUGGUAUGGAGGUCAAAGGGGCUGCUGUCUGCUCAGCUUUAGCAGAUCUCCUCAGAACGGCUGUUAUCUCUAUAAAAUGAAGAGACUGUUCAUGCUUGUCAAGUCCCAUGACCCAUAUGCCACAGUGCUGGUUCCUGGCCUGACUGGGUUUCAAAUCACUCAUGCUCUGCUUAGAAAAAGGUGAGACUGCAAGAGCUGCUCCUGGUUGGGUUGUGGUGCACUUACCUCCAGCCAGGCCUCAUCUUUCCAAACAUGAGAAAGAAAUGCUUGGGCUUCUGCUAAAACAUGACUAUGGUUAGCCUUUCCCUCUGAAGUGAACUCAGCCUAAGGCCCAUACCAGAGCAUGUACUUACAUACAAAUAAUAUGUAUGGUAUGUGAGCCUGAACUUGAGAGCAGUCUUGGACCUUUGUUUGUCAGACUGAAUAGAUGUACCCUUUAUGACUUGGUACGGAAGAGAGAAAACCUCCCCUGGUAAUUCUGCAGUAAUGUAAACCCUACUUGAAGAAACGCCAUUGAACUUUGGAAUUUCCCUUUGGGGAAUAUGGGCAUUUAUCUUUAUCAUCUAAAGCAUCAAGAGCUAUCCAUUGGCAAAGGCAGGACACACAAAUUCCCAGAGUAAUAAUCUGAUACAGCACAGCAAAACCUAUAUCCUUUGGAGCAGAUUGUGGGAAAGCAUCAAGACUUUGGUUAUUCUGCCAAAGCAAACAAGAUGUCUCAAGCCCCAUCAUCUGCUCUCCAGUUCACACCCUUCCAGUGCUAUCUUUUUCAGAUGCCAUGCCACACUGGUUAGUGGCAAUGAUGUUGUCAUGUGUGAUUCAUUCUAUUUUACUGGAAAUUAGAAAACCACAUGCUGCACUGAAGCAGUGCUUAUUUAUGUAGUCAUAUAAUCCCAGAGAGCACUCACCCUGACAUUAUUUGUAUACAAAUUCUUUCAUCUAGAAUUUUGGAAAUACUGCUCUGCAGCAGAGUUCAUUCAGAGGACAAAUUAAUCAAUAACACAUUGCUCUUUCCAGUGCCCACUCAGCCCUUAAUAGUUUCCACUGACACCCUGAAAAAGCAAAUGGCAUUUAGAAGACCAUUACAGGGUGUGUGGGAUGCAAAAUAGAACAGAGAGCAGUGGAAUUGGGGUGGUGUUAAGAGAAGCAUCUGUCACACAGUUAUUUGAGCUUUGGGCAGGUGAAUUUCACCCACAGAGAAAAAUGUAAGCUAGUUUCAUCUGUUUUUUCUGGAGUGCCUUUAUAAAGCCUAGGCAAGUGUUUCCUGAGCAGAUCAUAAUGCUACAUUUACUACAGUGAUUAAUAUUCAGUACAAGUGAAGAACUGGCAUAUUCAGGACAACAAAGCAAAUGCUUUCUUGGAUAUCAGUAUGUUUGGAUGUCAACAGUGCAUUCUUUCUGUGGAAUAAAAACUACUAGAUAAAAACAUUAAUAGUUUUAAAUAAUAUUUUAUGGUGACAACAAAUAAAACUGACUAAGCUUUGUUUCUAUCUCUGAAGCAGAGGUUGGGAAUCAUGCAUGUCUCAACGUACUUCCUCUUCUAGAUUACGUGAAUUUUUCUGGCCUUUAAAAAAUUAGUGUUACUAAAGCAGCAGGACUAGGAUCAGAAGUUAGAUUUGAUUGUGUGUUGACAGGCAAAGUAUGACCUCUACAAAUUCCUGUGCUAAGAUGUUGCAUUACCCUCUACAGAUACAGUUAAAUCCAGUCUUAUCUUUAGAUGAAGCAACUAUUAGGGUGAUUCAGACACCACACACACUUAUGAAAAAAGAAGACAGGAAUGUGAACCAUUCUUCUUUAAAGAUUAUACACGGUGUGUAUUGGUAAAGUCACCUCCCACUCUUCUUAAUUCUGAACAGAAAACUGAAUAGAAGUGUAGAGUCCUAUCACCACACAGCAUGGUGUCACCAAUGCGCUGAAUAAUAAGAACAAACAGAAACAUCCAGCAGAGGUACUGUUGCUCCAGGAUGGACCAUUUGUUUCUAUACAGAUAAUGCACAAUUAAAAAGCCUCAGGCGUUGCUGUCUUCAAUUGCUUAAUUAA